CAGACCUCUAAUCGGAAAAGACUACCCGCUGAGUUUAAGCAUAUCACUAAGCGGAGGAGAAGA
rnacentral:rRNA from 1 species